UUAGAGGUGCCAGAGUUUUAUGGGGCUGGUUUAGGUCCAGUUAACGAUAUAAAUUAUCCCUUUGCG
rnacentral:tRNA from 1 species